rfam:Zea mays cultivar B73 chromosome 6, whole genome shotgun sequence.
AACGGAGGGGAUGAUGUAUUUUAUUGUGAAUAUGAGUAUGAUAUACAUUGGCAUAAUUUUAAGCGUUUGGCAGAUAUU